GGGCCGCUAGCUCAACUGGUAGAGCAGGGGACUCUUAAUCCCAAGGUUGAUGGUUCAAGCCCAUCGCGGCCCACCA
rnacentral:tRNA from 1 species